GUCUACGGCCGUACCACCAUGAACAUGCCUGAUCCCGUCUGAUGUCAGAGGCUAAGCAAGGUCAGGCCUAGUUAGUACUUGGAUGGGAGAAAAUGAAUUAGAGAUUGGCAUCCUUUGGACC
rnacentral:rRNA from 1 species